rnacentral:rRNA from 1 species
UACGGAGGAUGCGAGCGUUAUCCGGAUUUAUUGGGUUUAAAGGGUGCGUAGGCGGCUUAGUAAGUCAGCGGUGAAAUUUUGCAGCUUAACUGUAACAGUGCCGUUGAUACCGCCAGGCUAGGAUUUGGUUGCUGUGGGUGGAAUGUGUGGUGUAGCGGUGAAAUGCUUAGAUAUCACACAGAAUAUCGAUUGCGAAGGCAGCUCACAAAGCCAAGAUUGACGCUGAGGCACGAAAGUGUGGGGAUCAAACAGGA